rnacentral:rRNA from 1 species
UACAGAGGUCUCAACCGUUGUUCGGAUUCAUUGGGCGUAAAGGGUGCGUAGGCGGUCGGGUAAGUCGGAUGUGAAAUCCCAGGGCUCAACCCAGGAUGUGCAUACAAAACUGCUUCGCUUGAAUCUCGGAGGGGGUCAGGGAAUUCCCGGUGUAGAGGUGAAAUUCGUAGAUAUCGGGAGGAACACCAGUGGCGAAGGCGCUGACCUGGACGAUGAUUGACGCUGAGGCGCGAAAGCGUGGGGAGCAAACAGG